UGGGGAAUUUUGGACAAUGGGCGCAAGCCUGAUCCAGCCAUGCCGCGUGAGUGAAGAAGGCCUUCGGGUUGUAAAGCUCUUUCAGACGGAAAGAAAUCUCUCAGGAUAAUACCUUGGGAGGAUGACGGUACCGUAAGAAGAAGCACCGGCUAACUACGUGCCGGCAGCCGCGGUAAUACGUAGGGUGCGAGCGUUAAUCGGAAUUACUGGGCGUAAAGCGUGCGCAGGCGGUGAUGUAAGACAGAUGUGAAAUCCCCGGGCUCAACCUGGGAACUGCGUUUGCGACUGCAUCACUCGAGUACGGCAGAGGGAGCUGUAAUUCCGCGUGAAGCAGUGAAAUGCGUAGAUAUGCGGAUGAACACCGAUGGCGAUGGCACCCUCCAGGGCCAGUACUGACGCUCAUUCACGAAAGCGUGGGUAGCAAACA
rnacentral:rRNA from 1 species